CAUUUUUCUCUUGAAAAUUAGGGGUUCUCUCCGCACUUCGAAGUUUUUUCAGUCUGAUGAACCCUAAUUUUCACGAUGCUCACGCUGUUAUUACUGCGAUUUCAGUCUCCGAGAAGAUAAAUGGUUUCCGCCGGUAUGAAUUCUCCGAUUGGCUCUGCAGAUAUGUGUAUUUCAAGCGCAAGGGUGGAAUAGAAAGGUGAUAGAUACACUCGAAAUUUGGUUAACUUCCUGAUAUUGAUUGAUCCCUGUUACAUAAGAAAUGUUGAUGGGAAAUGGGAAUGGGAUCCACAUUUUUUUAGGUAUAAUAGCAACCGAGCAAUCGGUAAAUCAUGUAAGAAAUAAGUAAGAAUUCCUGGGUGCUUAGGUAAGUUUUAUAGGUUCCUAAAUGCCUGGAGGUUCAUUGUAUUGGUGUUUUUGGAUCUUAUAAUUUCCAAACUCAAAUUUUGACAUUGAAAUAAAAGAAUUGGGAAAUUAUGAUCAA